CCUACGGGUGGCAGCAGUGAGGAAUAUUGGUCAAUGGACGGAAGUCUGAACCAGCCAUGCCGCGUGCAGGAAGACGGCUCUAUGAGUUGUAAACUGCUUUUGUACAAGGGUAAACCUGAAUACGUGUAUUCAGCUGAAAGUACUGUACGAAUAAGGAUCGGCUAACUCCGCGACAGCAGCCGCGGUAAUACGGAGGAGCCAAGCGUUAUCCGGAUUUAUUGGGUGUAAAGGGUGCGUAGGCGGAUUGAUAAGUUAGAGGUGAAAUGUCCGAGCUUAACUCGGGAACUGCGUGUAAUACUGUUGAGCUAGAGAGUAGAUGCGGUAGGCGGAAUGUAUGGUGUAGCGGUGAAAUGCUUAGAGAUCAUGCAGAACACCGGUGGCGAAGGCAGCUUACUAAUCUAUAUCUGACGUUGAGGCACGAAAGCGUGGGGAGCAAACAGGAUUAGAUACCCGGGUAGUC
rnacentral:rRNA from 1 species